rnacentral:rRNA from 1 species
AAACUCAAAGGAAUUGACGGGGACCCGCACAAGCGGUGGAUGAUGUGGUUUAAUUCGAUGCAACGCGAAAACCUUACCCACCUUUGACAUGUAUGGAAGAUCGCAGAGACGCGAUUGUGCUCGAAAGAGAGCCAUAACACAGGUGCUGCAUGGCUGUCGUCAGCUCGUGUCGUGAGAUGUUGGGUUAAGUCCCGCAACGAGCGCAACCCUUGUCAUUAGUUGCUACAUUCAGUUGGGCACUCUAAUGAGACUGCCGGUGACAAACCGGAGGAAGGUGGGGAUGACGUCAAGUCCUCAUGGCCCUUAUAGGUGGGGCUACACACGUCAUACAAUGGCUGGUACAAAGGGUUGCCAACCCGCGAGGGGGAGCUAAUCCCAUAAAGCCAGUCGUAGUCCGGAUCGUAGUCUGCAACUCGACUACGUGAAGUCGGAAUCGCUAGUAAUCGUGGAUCAGAAUGUCACGGUGAAUACGUUCCCGGGUCUUGUACACACCGCCCGUCACACCAUGGGAGCGGGUUCUGCCAGAAGUAGGUAGCCUAACCGUAAGGAGGGCGCUUACCACGGCAGGGUUCGUGACUGGGGUGAAGUCGUAACAAGGUAGCCGUAUCGGAAGGUGCGGCUGGAUCACCUCCUUUAUGAC